rnacentral:misc_RNA from 1 species
GAUGAAGAACGUAGCGAAAUGCGAUAAGUAAUGUGAAUUGCAGAAUUCAGUGAAUCAUCGAAUCUUUGAACGCACAUUGCGCCCGCCAGUAUUCUGGCGGGCAUGCCUGUUCGAGCGUCAUUUCAACCAUCAAGCCCCAGGCUUGUGUUGGGGACCUGCGGCUGCCGCAGGCCCUGAAAACCAGUGGCGGGCUCGCUAGUCACUCCGAGCGUAGUAAUACAUCUCGCUCAGGGCGUGCUGCGGGUUCCGGCCGUUAAAAAGCCUUAUUUACCCAAGGUUGACCUCGGAUCAGGUAGGAAGACCCGCUGAACUUAAGCAUAUCAAUAAGCGGAGGA